rnacentral:rRNA from 1 species
GAUGAACGCUGGCGGCGUGCCUAAUACAUGCAAGUAGAACGCUGAAGCUUGGUGCUUGCACCGAGCGGAGGAGUUGCGAACGGGUGAGUAACGCGUAGGUAACCUGCCUCUUAGCGGGGGAUAACUAUUGGAAACGAUAGCUAAUACCGCAUAAAAGUCGAUAUCGCAUGAUAUUGAUUUGAAAGGUGCAACUGCAUCACUAAGAGAUGGACCUGCGUUGUAUUAGCUAGUUGGUGAGGUAACGGCUCACCAAGGCGACGAUACAUAGCCGACCUGAGAGGGUGAUCGGCCACACUGGGACUGAGACACGGCCCAGACUCCUACGGGAGGCAGCAGUAGGGAAUCUUCGGCAAUGGACGGAAGUCUGACCGAGCAACGCCGCGUGAGUGAAGAAGGUUUUCGGAUCGUAAAGCUCUGUUGUAAGAGAAGAACGAGUGUGAGAGUGGAAAGUUCACACUGUGACGGUAACUUACCAGAAAGGGACGGCUAACUACGUGCCAGCAGCCGCGGUAAUACGUAGGUCCCGAGCGUUAUCCGGAUUUAUUGGGCGUAAAGCGAGCGCAGGCGGUUAGAUAAGUCUGAAGUUAAAGGCUGUGGCUUAACCAUAGUACGCUUUGGAAACUGUUUAACUUGAGUGCAGAAGGGGAGAGUGGAAUUCCAUGUGUAGCGGUGAAAUGCGUAGAUAUAUGGAGGAACACCGGUGGCGAAAGCGGCUCUCUGGUCUGUAACUGACGCUGAGGCUCGAAAGCGUGGGGAGCAAACAGG